UAAGUGUUUAAGGGCGCAUGGUGGAUGCCUUGGCACUGGGAGCCGAUGAAGGACGUGGGAGGCUGCGUUAUGCCUCGGGGAGCUGUCAACCGAGCGUGGAUCCGAGGAUGUCCGAAUGGGGAAACCCGGCACGAGUGAUGUCGUGUCACCCACUACUGAAUACAUAGGUAGUGGGGGGAACGCGGGGAAGUGAAACAUCUCAGUACCCGUAGGAAGAGAAAACAAAAGUGAUUCCGUGAGUAGUGGCGAGCGAAAGCGGAGGAUGGCUAAACCGUGUGCAUGUGAUACCCGGCGGGGGUUGUGUGUGCGGUGUUGUGGGGCCUGUGUUCCUUGAUCCGCCGAUCAGGGCAACAGUGAUAAAGCAGUGUGUUAGGUGAAGUGGUCUGGGAUGGCCUGCCGUAGAGGGUGAGAGCCCCGUAACCGAAAACUCAUUGCCUGUUGUCGCAGGAUCCCCGAGUAGCAGCGGGCCCGUGAAAUCUGCUGUGAAUCUGCCGAGACCACUCGGUAAGCCUGAAUACUUCCCAGUGACCGAUAGCGGAUUAGUACCGUGAGGGAAUGGUGAAAAGUACCCCGGGAGGGGAGUGAAAGAGUACCUGAAACCGUGUGCCUACAAUCCGUCAGAGCCUUCGACUUUGUCGUGGGGUGAUGGCGUGCCUUUUGAAGAAUGAGCCUGCGAGUCAGGGACAUGUCGCGAGGUUAACCCGGGAGGGGUAGCCGCAGCGAAAGCGAGUCUGAAUAGGGCGUAUCCAAUUCAUAGGAAUUGGUGUAGUGGUGUGUUCUGGACCCGAAGCGGAGUGAUCUACCCAUGGCCAGGGUGAAGCAGCAGUAAGAUGUUGUGGAGGCCCGAACCCACUUAGGUUGAAGACUGAGGGGAUGAGUUGUGGGUAGGGGUGAAAGGCCAAUCAAACUCCGUGAUAGCUGGUUCUCCCCGAAAUGCAUUUAGGUGCAGCGUCGCAUUUUUCUUGUUGGAGGUAGAGCUACUGGAUGGCCGAUGGGCCCUACUAGGUUACUGACGUCAGCCAAACUCCGAAUGCCGACAAGACAGAUAGUGCGGCAGUGAGACGGCGGGGGAUAAGCUCCGUGCGUCGAGAGGGAAACAGCCCAGAUCGCCGGCUAAGGCCCCUAAGCGUGUGCUAAGUGGAAAAGGAUGUGCAGUCGCGAAGACAACCAGGAGGUUGGCUUAGAAGCAGCCACCCUUGAAAGAGUGCGUAAUAGCUCACUGGUCAAGUGAUUGUGCGCCGAUAAUGUAGCGGGGCUCAAGCACACCGCCGAAGCCGCGGCAACGACCAUCCCUUCGGGGGUGACGUUGGGUAGGGGAGCGUCCUGCAUCCGGUGAAGCCACAGAGUGAUCUAGUGGUGGAGGGUGUGGGAGUGAGAAUGCAGGCAUGAGUAGCGAUAAGGCAAGUGAGAACCUUGCCCGCCGAAAGACCAAGGGUUCCUGGGCCAGGCCAGUCCGCCCAGGGUGAGUCGGGACCUAAGGCGAGGCCGACAGGCGUAGUCGAUGGACAACGGGUUGAUAUUCCCGUACCCGUGUAUCAGCGUCCCUGAUGAAUCAGAGGUACUAACCGGACCUUCUUUGGUAGUAGUCAAGCGAUGGGGUGACGCAGGAAGGCAGCCGUACCAGUCAGUGGUAAUACUGGGGCAAACCUGUAGGACGAACGAUAGGCAAAUCCGUCGUUCACAUGUCUGAGAGGUGAUGCAUAGCCGAGUGAGGCGAAUUCGGUGAUCCUAUGCUGUCGAGAAAAGCCUCUAGCGAGCGGAUACACGGCCCGUACCCCAAACCAACACAGGUGGUCAGGUAGAGAAUACCAAGGCGUACGAGUGAACUAUGGUUAAGGAACUCGGCAAAAUGCCCCCGUAACUUCGGGAGAAGGGGGACCCACACCACGUGACAGACCCUCGCGGUCUUGAGCGUGCGUGGGUGGCACAAACCAGUGAGAAGCGACUGUUUACUAAAAACACAGGUCCGUGCGAAGUCGCAAGACGAUGUAUACGGACUGACGCCUGCCCGGUGCUGGAAGGUUAAGAGGACCCGUUAACCCCUCGGGGUGAAGCGGAGAAUUUAAGCCCCAGUAAACGGCGGUGGUAACUAUAACCAUCCUAAGGUAGCGAAAUUCCUUGUCGGGUAAGUUCCGACCUGCACGAAUGGCGUAACGACUUCUCAGCUGUCUCAACCAUAGACUCGGCGAAAUUGCAUUACGAGUAAAGAUGCUCGUUACGCGCGGCAGGACGAAAAGACCCCGGGACCUUCACUACAACUUGGUAUUGGUGCUCGAUACGGUUUGUGUAGGAUAGGUGGGAGACUAUGAAGCAGUCACGCCAGUGAUUGUGGAGUCGUUGUUGAAAUACCACUCUGAUCGUAUUGGGCCUCUAACCUCGAACCGUAUAUCCGGUUCAGGGACAGUGCCUGGUGGGUAGUUUAACUGGGGCGGUUGCCUCCUAAAAAGUAACGGAGGCGCCCAAAGGUUCCCUCAACCUGGACGGCAAUCAGGUGUUGAGUGUAAGUGCACAAGGGAGCUUGACUGCGAGACCUACACGUCAAGCAGGGACGAAAGUCGGGACUAGUGAUCCGGCACCCCCGAGUGGAAGGGGUGUCGCUCAACGGAUAAAAGGUACCCCGGGGAUAACAGGCUGAUCUUCCCCAAGAGUCCAUAUCGACGGGAUGGUUUGGCACCUCGAUGUCGGCUCGUCGCAUCCUGGGGCUGGAGCAGGUCCCAAGGGUUGGGCUGUUCGCCCAUUAAAGCGGCACGCGAGCUGGGUUUAGAACGUCGUGAGACAGUUCGGUCUCUAUCCGCCGCGCGCGUCAGAAGCUUGAGGAAACCUGUCCCUAGUACGAGAGGACCGGGACGGACGAACCUCUGGUCCACCAGUUGUCCCACCAGGGGCACCGCUGGAUAGCCACGUUCGGACAGGAUAACCGCUGAAAGCAUCUAAGCGGGAAACCCCCUCCAAGACCAGGCUUCUCACCCAUUCAAGUGGGAUAAGGCCCCCCGCAGACCACGGGAUCGAUAGACCAGACCUACACGCACCGCAAGGUGUUCAGGGAACUGGCACUAACCGGCCGAAAACUUACACA
rnacentral:rRNA from 1 species